GACAGAGGGUGCAAGCGUUGUUCGGAAUUACUGGGCGUAAAGCGCGUGUAGGCGGCCAUGCAAGUCGGAUGUGAAAGCCCUCGGCUCAACCGGGGAAGUGCACUCGAAACUGCAAGGCUAGAGUCUCGGAGAGGAUCGUGGAAUUCUCGGUGUAGAGGUGAAAUUCGUAGAUAUCGAGAGGAACACCGGUGGCGAAGGCGGCGAUCUGGACGAUGACUGACGCUGAGACGCGAAAGCGUGGGGAGCAAACAGG
rnacentral:rRNA from 1 species